rnacentral:rRNA from 1 species
CCCUUAGAGUUUGAUCCUGGCUCAAAAUCAACGCUGGCGGCGUGCCUCAGACAUGCAAGUCGAACGAUUAAACUUCCCUUCGGGGAAGAUAUAAGGUGGCGCACGGGUGAGUAACACGUAGGUAAUCUACCUUUGAGUGGGGAAUAACAAUCGGAAACGAUUGCUAAUACCGCAUAAUGCAGCGGCACCGCAAGGUGACAGUUGUUAAAGGAGCAAUCCGCUUAAAGAGGAGCCUGCGGCAUAUUAGCUUGUUGGUAAGGUAAUGGCUUACCAAGGCUACGAUCUGUAACCGACCUGAGAGGGUGGUCGGUCACACUGACACUGAAUAACGGGUCACACUCCUACGGGAGGCAGCAGUCGGGAAUUUUGGGCAAUGGGCGAAAGCCUGACCCAGCAACGCCGCGUGAAGGAUGAAUUCUUUCGGGAUGUAAACUUCGUAAGAAUGGGAAGAAUAAAUGACGGUACCAUUUGUAAGGUCCGGCUAACUACGUGCCAGCAGCCGCGGCAAUACGUAGGGACCAAGCGUUGUUCGGAUUUACUGGGCGUAAGGGGCGCGUAGGCGGCGAAUCAAGUCAGCUGUGAUAUCUCCGAGCUUAACUCGGAACGGUCAGCUGAUACUGUUUUGCUAGAGUGCAGAAAGGGCAACCGGAAUUCUUGGUGUAGCGGUGAAAUGCGU